CCUACGGGGGACAGCAGUGAGGAAUAUUGGUCAAUGGACGCGAGUCUGAACCAGCCAAGUAGCGUGAAGGAUGACUGCCCUCUGGUUUGUAAACUUCUUUUAUAUGGGAAUAAAAUGUUCCACGUUUGGGAUUUUUUCUUUACCCUAUGAAUAAGGAUCGGCUAACUCCGUACCAGCAGACGCGGUAAUACGGAGGAUCCGAUAGUUAUCCGGAUUUAUUGGGUUUAAAGGGAGCGCAGGUGGCUUGUUAAGUCAGUUGUGAAAGUUUGCGGCUCAACCGUAAAAUUGCAGUUGAAACUGGCAGUCUUGAGUACAGUAGAGGUGGGCGGAAUUCGUGGUGUAGCGGUGAAAUGCUUAGAUAUCACGAAGAACUCCGAUUGCGAAGGCAGCUCACUGGACUGCAACUGACACUGAGGCUCGAAAGUGUGGGUAUCAAACAGGAUUAGAUACCCUGGUAGUC
rnacentral:rRNA from 1 species